rnacentral:rRNA from 1 species
CCCCUAGAUGUUCUGGGCCGCACGCGCGCUACACUGACCAGUGCAACAAGCAUCCGUCCUUGGCCGACAGGCUCGGGCAAUCUUUGAACGCUGGUCGUGAUGGGGAUAGACUUUUGCAAUUUUUGGUCUUCAACGAGGAAUUCCUAGUAAACGCAAGUCAUCAACUUGCAUUGAUUACGUCCCUGCCCUUUGUACACACCGCCCGUCGCACCUACCGAUUGAAUGGUCCGGUGAAGCCUCCGGAUUGGCGCGCACCUCGGUGCCGCCGAGAAGUUGGCUAAACCUUNCNAUUUAUNGGAAGGUGAANUCGUANCA